AAUAAGGCCCCUUUGAGGGUGGAGAUGGAGAAGGUGUGGCGCACCCUCUCUACCCCUGCACCACGACGGGAUGCUGCAUAAUUAACGGACAAUGUAUAUUGUUAAAUCAAUAUAAUUAACUCAACGACAAGAGCAAACUCAGGAGAACCAAUCACAUUUAUUUACAACAGACAUGACAAAACGAUCCAUAAAAACUGAGGCACUAAAACACUCAAAAGCGCAGGCUAUAUACGUUUUUUACAUGCUGAACACGCUAAGCACGUUACUGCAAAUGUAAAAACACUAAACUAGUCCACUUACCAAGUGCUGUUCACUAUUCACAGACAAAGUUCAUCCUGAACUAACGUCAAAUACUGAGAUAUGCUGUUUGACAGCACACGUGGCGGUACGUGUCUUACGUAGAGGCUGGAUUCAAAUUGUCAAAAUAGUGACCUCCUCACUUCUAUUCCUAACCACUAUUCCUUGACCUCUGUAUAAAACGUCAUGGGGUCAAGGAAAGUUGGUCAGGAGAAUUCAGGAGGAGUUAGGAAAAGACAGCCAUGGAUUUUAGGGAAUCCGACCCCACUUUCAGCUACAUAGUUAUGAUGCCACAAGAGACGCAUGUUGUUACCGUCGGUGUGCAGCAGUGUAACUAUAUGUAACAGGUAGAACCAACCAGGAAAAAGUUACAUUUAAUAUGUGAUUUAAAACAAUGAUAUCACAUGACCAUACUUUAAACAGAGACACCGGUCCUACUCACCGGUGAGUUUCUUCUACGGAGAGGGGCAUAUUAACCAGAACACAAAAUACCAAUGCCCCGUGCCGACACACACUUAACCUACUGUGGGUAACGACACUAACAACAUAUAUGCUUAAAUGCGAUAAACUCCAGAUCAAGCUUAACACUCCUAAAUAAAUGCAAAAAACCCAUACAAUUUAAUGGUUGUAAACCCAUACACAAAAUGUCUUUGCAUAUGAAAACCUUUUCCACAGUUGAAAGUUCCCUGUUUUCACAUUCAGUUCAAAAUAGUCGAGCCACGGUCCUCCACGUGUAUUAAAUGUUUCCAAAAAACAUUACCGUCCGGGACACGUUCCUCCUCGUUGACGACGUGGAUUCAUGUGUGCCAGGGUAUUACUCACAACCCCCCUUCGGUGAGAGGGGGGGGGGGGGGGGGGCAGGUGAGCUGCGGGCACGUCGAGGACUGUAGUGGCGAGACGGCGGACUGUCCUUGUUCGCUGGCGUGGAGAAGCCUUCGACGCUGGCGACGAACUAACAACGUAACCGAACUUUACGAGCUAGCGAGGACAUUAGCCUCAGGCUACAACGAGCUACACUUUUUCACGUCUAACGGAUGAUCUUCAGAGCUGGAGGUGUAGACUCCUCCACACGGCCGCUCCGACCGUCACUCCUCCGCGACACGAACACUAACCCCAACAACCUAAACCUAAACUUGCAAUCGACUGUAACUUCUUCUUAAUCGCAGGUGCGCACCCCGGGCGCCGCCAUCCUCUUCUCCGUCGUUCCUCGUCUCCUCCUUGUCCCGCCCCCUCCACUCUCUCCAUUCGCCAGCGCACCAACUUUUCAGUCACUGAUUGGCUGGACCUGUGGUCAAGUUCUGUGGUGCUAUUGGGUGUG
ensembl:lncRNA